UACGAAGGGGGCUAGCGUUGCUCGGAAUGACUGGGCGUAAAGGGCGCGUAGGCGGCGGACACAGUCAGAUGUGAAAUUCCCGGGCUCAACCUGGGGGCUGCAUUUGAUACGUGUUUGCUUGAGUGGGGAAGAGGGUCGUGGAAUUCCCAGUGUAGAGGUGAAAUUCGUAGAUAUUGGGAAGAACACCAGUGGCGAAGGCGGCUCACUGGCCCGUAACUGACGCUGAGGUGCGAAAGCGUGGGGAGCAAACAGG
rnacentral:rRNA from 1 species